CUCUCUCUAAGGAACUCGGCAAAAUGGCCCCGUAACUUCGGGAGAAGGGGUGCCACCGCAAGGUGGUCGCAGUGAAGAGGCCCAGGCGACUGUUUACCAAAAACACAGGUCUCCGCUAAGUCGCAAGACGAUGUAUGGGGGCUGACGCCUGCCCAGUGCCGGAAGGUUAAGGAAGCUGGUCAGCGCAAGCGAAGCUAGCGACUGAAGCCCCGGUGAACGGCGGCCGUAACAAUAACGGUCCUAAGGUAGCGAAAUUCCUUGUCGGGUAAGUUCCGACCCGCACGAAAGGCGUAACGAUCUGGGCGCUGUCUCGGAGAGAGGCUCGGCGAAAUAGAAUUGUCUGUGAAGAUGCGGACUACGUGCACCCGGACAGAAAGACCCUAUGAAGCUUUACUGUAGCUUGGUAUUGUGCCCGGGCUCGCAAUGCGCAUAGGUGGGAGGCUUUGAUCAUCGGCUUGCGGGUCGAUGUGAGCCAACGGUGAGAUACCACUCUUUGCGAGCUAGGGUUCUAACGGCCACCCGUCAUCCGGGGGCCGGACAGUACCUGGUGGGCAGUUUGACUGGGGCGGUCGCCUCCUAAAAGGUAACGGAGGCGCGCAAAGGUUUGCUCAGGCUGGUUGGAAAUCAGCCGACGAGUGUAAAAGCAGAAGCAAGCUUGACUGUGAGACCAACAAGUCGAACAGGGAGGAAACUCGGCUUUAGUGAUCCGACGGUUCUGAGUGGAAGGGCCGUCGCUCAACGGAUAAAAGUUACUCUAAGGAUAACAGGCUGAUCUCCCCCAAGAGUUCACAUCGACGGGGAGGUUUGGCACCUCGAUGUCGGCUCAUCGCAACCUGGGGCUGAAGUCGGUCCCAAGGGUUGGGCUGUUCGCCCAUUAAAGCGGUACGCGAGCUGGGUUCAGAACGUCGUGAGACAGUUCGGUCCAUAUCCGGUGCACGCGCAGGAAUAUUGAGAGGAUUUCUCCCUAGUACGAGAGGACCGGGAGGAACGCACCUCUGGUGUACCAGUUAUCGUGCCAACGGUAAACGCUGGGUAGCCAUGUGCGGAGUGGAUAACCGCUAAAAGCAUCUAAGUGGGAAGCCCACCUCAAGAUGAGUAUUCCCAUGGCGUAAGCCAGUAAGGUCACGGGAAGAACACCCGCUGAUAGGCUCUAUGUGGAAGCGCAGUAAUGCGUGAAGCAGAGGAGUACUAAUAGACCGAGGGCUUGAC
rnacentral:rRNA from 1 species